GACGAACGCUGGCGGCGUGCUUAACACAUGCAAGUCGAACGGAAAGGCCCUGCUUUUGUGGGGUGCUCGAGUGGCGAACGGGUGAGUAACACGUGAGUAACCUGCCCUUGACUUUGGGAUAACUUCAGGAAACUGGGGCUAAUACCGGAUAGGAGCUCCUGCUGCAUGGUGGGGGUUGGAAAGUUUCGGCGGUUGGGGAUGGACUAGCGGCUUAUCAGCUUGUUGGUGGGGUAGUGGCUUACCAAGGCUUUGACGGGUAGCCGGCCUGAGAGGGUGACCGGCCACAUUGGGACUGAGAGACGGCCCAGUCUCCUACGGGAGGCAGCAGUGGGGAAUAUUGCACAAUGGGCGGAAGCCUGAUGCAGCAACGCCGCGUGCGGGAUGACGGCCUUCGGGUUGUAAACCGCUUUCGCCUGUGACGAAGCGUGAGUGACGGUAAUGGGUAAAGAAGCACCGGCUAACUACGUG
rnacentral:rRNA from 1 species